UGGGUGUUCGUUCAAAGGUAGGACACAGGAUUUUGAUUCCUGGAAUAAUAGUUCGAAUCUAUUACGCCCAG
rnacentral:tRNA from 2 species